rnacentral:rRNA from 1 species
GACGAACGCUGGCGGCGUGCUUAACACAUGCAAGUCGAACGGAAAGGCCCUUCGGGGUGCUCGAGUGGCGAACGGGUGAGUAACACGUGGGUGAUCUACCCUGCACUUCGGGAUAAGCCUGGGAAACUGGGUCUAAUACCGGAUAGGACCACGGCCUGCAUGGGUUGUGGUGGAAAGCUUUUGCGGUGUGGGAUGGGCCCGCGGCCUAUCAGCUUGUUGGUGGGGUGAUGGCCUACCAAGGCGUCGACGGGUAGCCGGCCUGAGAGGGUGUCCGGCCACACUGGGACUGAGAUACGGCCCAGACUCCUACGGGAGGCAGCAGUGGGGAAUAUUGCACAAUGGGCGAAAGCCUGAUGCAGCAACGCCGCGUGCGGGAUGACGGCCUUCGGGUUGUAAACCGCUUUCAGCUCCGACGAAGCGCAAGUGACGGUAGGAGCAGAAGAAGGACCGGCCAACUACGUGCCAGCCGCCGCGGUAACAC